UACGGGGGGGGCAAGCGUUGUUCGGAAUUACUGGGCGUAAAGGGCGCGUAGGCGGCCUGCUAAGUCGGAUGUGAAAUCCCUCGGCUCAACCGAGGAACUGCAUCCGAUACUGGCGGGCUUGAAUCCGGGAGAGGGAUGUGGAAUUCCAGGUGUAGCGGUGAAAUGCGUAGAUAUUCGGAAGAACACCAGUGGCGAAGGCGGUCUGCUGGGCCGUUGCUGACGCUGAGGCGCGACAGCGUGGGGAGCAAACAGG
rnacentral:rRNA from 1 species